rnacentral:rRNA from 1 species
CCUACGGGUGGCAGCAGUAGGGAAUUUUGGACAAUGGGCGCAAGCCUGAUCCAGCUAUUCCGCGUGUGGGAAGAAGGCCUUCGGGUUGUAAACCACUUUUGUUGAGAACGAAAAGUCUAUUGAUAAUAUCGAUACACGUUGACGGUAUUCUAAGACUAAGCACCGGCUAACUACGUGCCAGCAGCCGCGGUAAUACGUAGGGUGCGAGCGUUAAUCGGAUUUAUUGGGCGUAAAGGGAGUGCAGGCGGUUUGGCAAGUUGGAUGUGAAAGCCCCGGGCUUAACCUGGGAAAGCCAUACAUGACUGCAAGACUAGAGUGCGUCAGAGGGGGGUGGAAGUCCAAGUGUAGCAGUGAAAUGCGUAGAUAUAUGGAAGAACACCGAUGGCGAAGGCAGCCCCCUGGGACGCAACUGACGCUCAGACACGAAAGCGUGGGGAGCAAACAGGAUUAGAUACCCUUGUAGUC